AACGUAGGAGGCGAGCGUUAUCCGGAUUUACUGGGCGUAAAGGGCGUGCAGGUGGCUUGCUAAGCGUGGCCUGAAAGCCCCCGGCUCAACCGGGGAGUGCGGCUGCGAACUGGGUUUCUUGAGGACGAUAGAGGAGAGUGGAAUUCCUGGUGUAGCGGUGAAAUGCGUAGAUAUCAGGAGGAACACCCGAGGCGAAGGCGGCUCUCUGGGCCGUACCUGACGCUGAGGCGCGAAAGCGUGGGGAGCGAACGGG
rnacentral:rRNA from 1 species